UACAGAGGUCUCGAGCGUUGUUCGGAUUUACUGGGCGUAAAGGGCGCGUAGGCGGCUUAACAAGUCACUUGUGAAAUCUCCGGGCUUAACUCGGAACGGCCAAGUGAAACUGUCAAGCUAGAGUGCAGAAGGGGCAAUCGGAAUUCUUGGUGUAGCGGUGAAAUGCGUAGAUAUCAGGAGGAACACCGGUGGCGAAGGCGGAUCUCUGGGCCGAUACUGACGCUGAGGAGCGAAAGCGUGGGGAGCAAACAGG
rnacentral:rRNA from 1 species